rnacentral:rRNA from 1 species
AAGUUCUACCUAGGAGAUGUUGGCUAUGCAUGUCGACAAGGUAUUCUUCCACCCUUUAGGAAAACCAGGUACCAUUUGAACGAGUUCGCUGAUUGGAACUAUCCUAGGACUCCACAUGAGCUGUUCAAUCUCAGAGACUUCGGCCUUAGAGUUACUAGUGAGAGGGCCUUUGGAGCUCUGAAGAACAGGUUUAAUAUCCUAGAUCAGAAGCCAUUCCACACUUUCCCCACUUAGGUUAAGUUUGUUCUUGCUUGUUGUAUUCUGCAUAAUUGGAUCAUGCAAUGGGGUGUUGAUGAAUGGUUAGAGUUGUAG